rnacentral:lncRNA from 1 species
UUUUGGAGUGAUAUAUCAGGUGGCGGAAGCCAAGAUCCAUCUACACAAUUAUCUUAUGUCAUACAUAACCCAGCCUUCAGAUAUUUUCAGAUGAUAUUAGCACAUUCCUUCUUGGGAAGACAUGAUGCAGAGACACUACUGAGUGAAGAGGAGAUCUUCCUAUUAUUUUGCGCAUCCCAGUCUCGCCCAGUAGCAUGUGGGAACUUUUU